rnacentral:ncRNA from 1 species
AUCAGAGGCCCUGAAAAGAGCCUUCGGGUCGCGCUCAAAUCCUACGAGCCGAUUCGUGUCUGUAUCGCCCACAAGGCAGUUUGACGAGGUUGCGACUGGAACGAAGUUGUCCUGAGGGACGGAAGCGUAUUACGGUCCAUCGGCAAAGCUGCCAAGUGACGCGACAGGCCCUUGAGUGCCCGACUGCACGCCACAGCUACGCCUUGAACUCGCUCUUCCC